ensembl:rRNA 5S_rRNA 5S ribosomal RNA
AGAUACGGCCAUACCACACUGACAAUGCCAGAUCUCGUCUGAUCUCGGAAGCUAAGCAGAGUUGGGCUGGGUCAGUACUUGGAUGGGUGACUGCCUGGGAAUACCUGGUGCUGUAAGCA